rnacentral:rRNA from 1 species
AUGGCGGCGGCGUGGGGCGGCACCACGCAGAAGUGCGCCUCCUGCGGCAAGAAGGUGUACCCGGUCGAGGAGCUCGCCGCCGACGGCCGCGCCUACCACCGCCCCUGCUUCCGCUGCCACCACUGCAAGAGCACCCUCCAGUUUAGUAAUUAUUCUUCGAUCGAAGGUGUCCUGUACUGCAAACCUCACUAUGACCAGAUAUUAAAAUCAACUGGCAGUUUAGAAAAAAGUUUUGAAGGUGUGACAAGAUCAGCUAAAUCAGAAAAAUCAAAUGGACCCAAGGGCCAGCAAAACAGCAGAUUCUCUAGCAUGUUUGUCGGCACGCAAGACAAGUGCGUAGUUUGUAACAAGACUGUGUACCCUCUUGAAAAGGUUGAUCUUAACGGAGGCUCGUAUCAUAAAUCAUGUUUCCGUUGCACCCAUGGUGGUUGUACACUCAGCCCAUCCAACAAUGUCACACAUGAAGGCAAACUUUAUUGCAAGACCCACCAUUCUCAGUUGUUUAUGGUCAAGGGAAACUUCAGUCAGUUCGAGGAAAACACUGUAAAUGCAAAAGUGGCUGUCGAGAAACAACCAGAAACUGGAGAAGCCACUGACAAGCCAGGUCAAGGUGACGAAGUCAGUGAGAAGACCACAGAAAAUGAGCUCACAACUGAUGAACCAUCCCAAAAUGAUGUUGCAGCUGAAAAACAAUUGCAAAGUAGCAUUGAUGUUGCUAAACCGUCGGAAAGCACAGUCGAGAAGUCAGCAGAAAGUGAAAGUGUUACUGAGAGUGAGUCAAAGAGUCCUGGAGUUAACAAUAAGCCAUCAGAAAGCAGUGCCGAGAAGCCACUGCAGAGCAGUGUGGUUGAUACUAAGCCACCAGGAAGCAGUGCGGCCAUAAGAAAACCAUGGCAACGCAGUCUUCCCACAAAUAAGCCGUCAGUGAUUAGUGCAUCCACUGAAAAGCCAUCACCGAGCGAUGCGGCCAUUGAGAAGCCGUCGUCCAGUAAUGGGACUAAUGGGAAACCGUCGGACAGCAGCACAGGGGUAAAAAAGUCAUGGCAGCGCAGUGUAGCUACUGAGAACCCACAGCAGAGCAUGUUACCAUCGGAUAAGCCAGCAUCAACCAGUGCAGAUAAUGUGAAGCCAUCAGAAAGCGGCAAAGUGGCCAAAAAAACAUGGCAACGCCCUGUGGUUGCUGAGAACCAGAAACAAAACAGUGGACCAACUGAGAAGCCGUCACCGACGAGUGAUACAAAGCCAUUAGAUAGCAGCACAGCAAUUAAAAGGCCAUGGGGCCGCAGAAUAGCCAGUGAGAAAUCUCUUCAGAGUAGUGAGGUUGAUAUGAAACCAGUGGAAACCAGUACAGUGGUCACUGUUCUACAGCAGCCCAGUGAGGAACCUCUACAAACCAAUGCAGCUGUGCUACAGCAGCCCAGUGAGGAACCUCAACAAACUAAUGCAGCUGUGCUAAAGCAGCCCAGUGAGGAACCUCAACAAACUAAUGCAGAUGAUGUGAAGCCUUCGGAGGACACUGGAGCAGUAGUGAAAAAGCCAUGGCAAUUCAACACGAGAACCGAGAAGCAACCCCAGAGUAGUGUAGUCGAUGCAAAGAAAACUGAAAGUACUGGAGCGAUCAAACGGCAGUGGAAGCGCAACACGCCAUUUGAGAAGCCAUCACAAAGCAGUGCAGCAGCAGCUGUGACAACGACACAAAGCAAUGUGACCGUCACCAAGCCAGCCCCGAGCAACAUGGCUGUGAAGAAGUCAUGGCAAAGAAGUACAACUCCAAAAAAUCUGGCAGCGAGUGAUAUGGCUACCAAUAAAGCAUUGCAAACCAAGGCAGUGAUCGAGAAGCCAUCACAAGAAAGUUCUCAAGAGAAACCAUUACAAGAAAAGGCACCUCAAAUCACUGUGAUCACCGAGAAGCUAUCGGAAGAAACUUCUCAAGAGAAGCCAUCUCAAGAAAAGGCACCUCAAACUGCUGCGAUCAUCGAGAAGCCAUCACAAGAAAGUUCUCAAGAGAAGCCAUCUAAAGCAAAGACACCUCAAAUUGCUGCAACCGCCGAGAAGCCAUCACAAGAAAGUUCUCAAGAAAAGGCAUUACAAAUGAAUGAAUCUUCCAAGGAGCAACUUCAGACUGAAGAGACUAUUGAGAAACAACUUCAAAGUGAAGAUAUUGCUGAUGCUACACCACAAAGGGACCUGAUGACACAAGAUGAUGUCUCUCUCAAGAAGAUACCAGAGCCUGAAAUUGAUGCCUCUUCUGACAAGCCUACGAAGGAUCCAUCAGAGCAAGAAGGGGCUGCAUCUGGUGAGAACUUGUCAGAGUCUCAAAGUAAGCUAACUGUUGAACAGACGUUGGAAUCCCAAGACGCUGUGGUUCCUCGAGAGGCAACUGACCAGAUAAUGGAAGCUAAAAAUGAUGCAGGCAUUGAGCGGUCAUCAGAAUCUCAAAGUGUUGCACCGGCAGAGGUUCCAGUGGAGCAACCAUUGCAACAACAAAAAGAUGCAUCUACAGAGCAGGCAUUGGAAUCUCAGCAUGAAGCAGAUGACAAGGAUCAAACAGAGCCUAGUAGUGAUGCAAUUGCUAAGGAGUCAUUGCAGCUUGAAUUUGACACAGCUGCCGUGAAGUCAUCAGAACCACAAACAGAUGCAGCUGCUGAUCAGUCGGCUGAGCAGCUACCAGAACCUCAAAGUGACGCAUCAGUGGAGGAACCAGUAGUCCAUCAAGGCGACGUGUCUACUGAGAAGCUAUCUGAGUCUCAAGGUGAUGCAGCUGCUGUUGAAUCAUCAGGACAGCCAUCAGAGCCUGAGAAGUCGUCGGAACCUCAAAUGGAUGCAGCUCCUCAUAAUUUAACUGAUCAGCCAUUGGAACCUCAAAAGGAUGUAUCUAUUGAGAAGCCACUCGAAACCGAGACUAACGUUGUUGCUGAUAAUCCAUCAGAAAGCAGCUUAGCUACUGAAAGCACUCUAAAGAUCAGCACUACCACCGAGGAACCUGCACAACGUGAAAUUUCUGAUGAGACACUGCCUCAAAGCAUUGCAUUAGAUACAACACCAGAAAGCACCACAUCUGUCGAAGAACCCACAGAUGUCGGUGAGGCCAUUGUUGAGAUAUCAGAGGACAGCUCAGCUCCUGAGAAGCCAUCGGAGGAUGCUGUAACUCCUGAGGAGCCAUCAGAUGUAGGUAAGACAACUUUGGAACCAGCAGGAGACAAUGCGGCUGUUGAGAAACCAUCAGAGGAAGUUGAGGUGGGUACUGAUCCAUCAAACAACCUAGUGGAUCUCGAGAAGCCAUCAGAGAAAGAAGACGACUCUGUGAAGCCAGUAGAGGACAGUGUGGCUCUUGAGAAGCCAACCACCGACAAACCCUGGGAGGAAGAUAAGGUGAGUGCUGAACCAUCAAACGACAGAGUGGAUCUUGAUAAGCCAUCGGAGAAAGAAGCUGACACUGUCAAGCCAUCAGAGGACAGCAUGGCUCUUGAGGAGCCAGUCACCGACAAACCAUCAGAGGAAGACGAAGCCAGUGCUGAGCCAUCAAACGACAGAAUAGAUGCCGAGAAACCAUCGGAGGAGAAAGAAGAGGACACUGUGAAGUCAUCAGAGGAUAGCACGGCUGUCGAGAAGCCAGCCACUGACAAACCUUCAGAGGAAGAGGGAGAAGGCGCAGCCAGCGAGAAGCCGUCGCAUGACGAUGCUGUCAUCGAGGCACCAUCGCACGAGGACAUGGACUCGGCCACCGACAAACCCUUGCCUGCCACAGAGAAGAACAUAUCACCCUGA